GCUGACGAUCAUAGCUUGUUGGAACCACCUGAUCCCUUCCCGAACUCAGAAGUGAAACGACAAUGCGCCGAUGGUAGUGUGAUUCGAUCAUGCGAGAGUAGGUCAUCGUCAGCG
rfam:Moraxella atlantae strain CCTG 59586 contig_14, whole genome shotgun sequence.